UUUGCUUCUUGGCCUUUUGGCUCAGAUCAAGUGUAGUAUCUGUUUUUAUCUGAUUAAUAUCUGAAAAGGACCAUGUAUUAAAUAGUCUUUUUUUUUUUUUUUGGAACUGCUGGAUAGAACAGGUGCUUGCUUCGUCUGCUCCGUGCAUUGACCUGGUAUUGCAGCAGCUCCAGGAGCGAUGCACUUCCU
rnacentral:snRNA from 1 species